UACAGAGGGGGCAAGCGUUGUUCGGAAUACUGGGCGUAAAGCGUGCGCAGGCGGUUUGCUAAGACAGGUGUGAAAUCCCCGGGCUUAACCUGGGAACUGCAUUGGUGACUGGCAGGCUUUGAGUGUGGCAGAGGGAGGUAGAAUUCCACGUGUAGCAGUGAAAUGCGUAGAGAUGUGGAGGAAUACCGAUGGCGAAGGCAGC
rnacentral:rRNA from 1 species